UCCGUAGGUGGAUAAUUAAGUCAGAGGUGAAAUCCUGCAGCUCAACUGUAGAAUUGCCUUUGAUACUGGUUAUCUUGAGUCAUUAUGAAGUGGUUAGAAUGUGUAGUGUAGCGGUGAAAUGCAUAGAUAUUACACAGAAUACCGAUUGCGAAGGCAGAUCACUAAUAAUGCACUGACACUGAUGGACGAAAGCGUGGGGAGCGAACAGGAUUAGAUACCCUGGUAGUCC
rnacentral:rRNA from 1 species